rnacentral:rRNA from 1 species
AGUGAACGCUGGCGGUAGGCCUAACACAUGCAAGUCGAACGGCAGCACAGUAAGAGCUUGCUCUUACGGGUGGCGAGUGGCGGACGGGUGAGGAAUACAUCGGAAUCUACUUUUUCGUGGGGGAUAACGUAGGGAAACUUACGCUAAUACCGCAUACGACCUACGGGUGAAAGCAGGGGAUCUUCGGACCUUGCGCGAUUGAAUGAGCCGAUGUCGGAUUAGCUAGUUGGCGGGGUAAAGGCCCACCAAGGCGACGAUCCGUAGCUCGUCUGAGAGGAUGAUAGGCCACACUGGAACUGAGACACGGUCCAGACUCCUGCGGGAGGCAGCAGUGGGGAAUGUUGGACAAUGGGCGCGAGCCUGACCCAGCCAUACCGCGUGGGUGAAGAAGGCCUUCGGGUUGUAAAGCCCUUUUGUUGGGAAAGAAAAGCAUCAGGUUGAUACCCCGCUGUUCUGACGGUACCCAAAGAAUAAGCACCGGCUAACUUCGUG